GGGGAAUUUUGCGCAAUGGACGAAAGUCUGACGCAGCAACGCCGCGUGGAGGAUGAAGCAUCUCGGUGUGUAAACUCCUUUUCUACAAGAAGAAAUUGACGGUAUUGUAGGAAUAAGCACCGGCUAACUCCGUGCCAGCAGCCGCGGUAAUACGGGGGGUGCAAGCGUUACUCGGAAUCACUGGGCGUAAAGGGAGCGUAGGCGUCUGGGUUAGUCUCCUGUGAAAUCCAUCGGCUUAACCGAUGAACUGCAGGGGAAACUACCUAGAUAGAGUAUGGAAGAGGUAAGUGGAAUAGGUGGUGUAGGGGUAAAAUCCGUAGAGAUCACCUGGAAUACCAACGGCGAAGGCAACUUACUGGGACAUUACCGACGCUGAGGUGCGAAAGCGUGGGGAGCAAAC
rnacentral:rRNA from 1 species